AUUGAACGCUGGCGGCAUGCUUUACACAUGCAAGUCGAACGGUAACAGGUUAAGCUGACGAGUGGCGAACGGGUGAGUAAUGCAUCGGAACGUGCCCGAUCGUGGGGGUUAACGCAGCGAAAGCUGCGCUAAUACCGCAUACGAUCUGAGGAUGAAAGCGGGGGACCUUCGGGCCUCGCGCGAUUGGAGCGGCCGAUGUCAGAUUAGGUAGUUGGUGGGGUAAAGGCUCACCAAGCCAACGAUCUGUAGCUGGUCUGAGAGGACGACCAGCCACACUGGGACUGAGACACGGCCCAGACUCCUACGGGAGGCAGCAGUGGGGAAUUUUGGACAAUGGGGGCAACCCUGAUCCAGCAAUGCCGCGUGAGUGAAGAAGGCCUUCGGGUUGUAAAGCUCUUUUGUCCGGGAAGAAAUCCCAUCCCUGAAUACGGGGUGGGGAUGACGGUACUGGAAGAAUAAGCACCGGCUAACUACGUGCCAGCCGCCGCCGUAAGAC
rnacentral:rRNA from 1 species